rnacentral:rRNA from 1 species
UCACAUGAACAUGCCUACAGCGUUAAUGCACUGGAUCCCAUUAUAAAUCCAUAGUUUAGUACGAUUAGACUAGAGUAGUACUAAAAUACGUGACAUCCUGGGAAGUCUUGGUGUUUUAAAUGCC